GUGCCAGCAGCCGCGGUAAUACGUAGGGGGCAAGCGUUGUCCGGAAUUAUUGGGCGUAAAGCGCGCGCAGGCGGUUAUUUAAGUCUGAUGUUUAAUCCACGGGCUCAACCCGUGUUCGCAUCGGAAACUGGGUGACUGGAGUGUAGGAGAGGAAAGUGGAAUUCCACGUGUAGCGGUGAAAUGCGUAGAGAUGUGGAGGAACACCAGUGGCGAAGGCGACUUUCUGGCCUAUAACUGACGCUGAGGCGCGAAAGCGUGGGGAGCAAACAGGAUUAGAUACCCUGGUAGUCC
rnacentral:rRNA from 1 species